UUGUCUGUCCCACUUCAUGCCUGUUGUUCCAGUAACAAUGCAGGCUGUGAGGACAGACUGAGAGUAACCCUGUCUAUUAUGGAGAGCUGUUUAAAGGAUAUCUACAGACUCUUAAAGGCUUGACAGGACAAA